rnacentral:misc_RNA from 1 species
CUUUUUUGCAGGUUAAAAAGUUAUUUAAUAAAUUUAAAUUUAUUGGGUUAUUGUCUUGGACAGUAAUAAACUUAAGCUGACCUUUGCAUUGUUUCAAUCCGGUGGGCUUUAGGAAUGGCAACGGUCAGUUCGGGGUGGGGAUCGCUCUCCCCGUCUUCGUCUCACAAGAAUUUUGAGUCGGAGCGGAACAUUCCUUGUUAGGUGCAGGGCGG